rnacentral:rRNA from 1 species
CGGACGGGUGAAUAACACGUGGAUAACCUGCCCGCUCAUCUGGGAUAACAGGCCGAAAGGCCUGCUUUUACCGGAUAAGCUCACGGUCCCGCAUGGGUUUGGGAGAAAAGGUCCUUUAGGCAGUGGCGCUGGCAGAAGAGGGGUCCGCAAGCCAUUAACUGGUUAACCGGGUUACGGCCGUCCAAGGUUACGAUGGUAUAGCCGGCCUGAGAGGGCGACCGGCCACACUGGGACUGAGACACGGCCCAGACUCCUAGGGGAGGCAGCAGUGGGGAAUUUUGCGCAAUGGCCGAAAGGCUGAUGCAGCAACGCCGCGUGAGCGAAGAAGGCCUUCGGGUUGUAAAGCUCUGUUGCCUGCGAAGAAGGGCCCUGUCUGGAAAUGGGCGGGGUUUGACGGUAGCAGGCGAGGAAGCCCCGGCAAACUACGUGCCAGCAGCCGCGGUAAUACGUAGGGGGCGAGCGUUGUCCGGAAUUACUGGGCGUAAAGGGCGUGUAGGCGGCCUGUUAAGUCAGGGGUGAAAGACCGGGGCUCAACCCCGGGGGUGCCUCUGAAACUGAUGGGCUUGAGUGCUCUAGAGGGCAGUGGAAUUCCCGGUGUAGCAGUGAAAUGCGUAGAGAUCGGGAGGAACACCAGUGGCGAAGGCGGCUGCCUGGGGAGUAACUGACGCUGAGGCGCGAAAGCUAGGGGAGCAAACAGGAUUAGAUACCCUGGUAGUCCUAGCCGUAAACGAUGAGUGCUAGGUGUGAGGGGUAUCGACCCCCCUCGUGCAGUAGCUAACGAAUUAAGCACUCGGCCUGGGGAGUACGGCCGCAAGGUUGAAACUCAAAGGAAUUGACGGGGGCCCGCACAAGCAGCGGAGCAUGUGGUUUAAUUCGAACGCGUAGAACCUUACCAGGGCUUGACAUCUACCGAAUCCUGGAGAGGUACGGGAGUGCCUCUCUAAUGAGAGGAGCCUCGAGACAGGUGGUGCAUGGUUGUCGUCAGCUCGUGUCGUGAGAUGUUGGGUUAAGUCCCGCAACGAGCGCAACCCCUGUCGCAUGUUGCCAGCGGGUGAUGCCGGGCACUAAUGCGAGACUGCCGGCGACAAACCGGAGGAAGGUGGGGAUGACGUCAAAUCAUCAUGCCCCUUAUGUCCUGGGCUACACACGUGCUACAAUGGCGGUGACAGAGCGAGCCGAACCUGCGAGGGGGAGGCAACAUGCAAAAGGCGGUCUCAGUUCGGAUGGCAGGCUGCAACUCGCCUGCGUGAAGCCGGAGUUGCUAGUAACUCGCGGAUCAGCACGCCGCGGUGAAUACGUUCCCGGGCCUUGUACACACCGCCCGUCACACCAUGGGAGCUGGCAACACCCGAAGUCGGUGAGCUAACCCGCAAG